rnacentral:rRNA from 1 species
GUGCAGCGCCGCGGUAAUACCGGCAGCCCGAGUGAUGGCCGAUCUUAUUGGGCCUAAAGCGUCCGUAGCUGGCCGCGCCAGUCCAUCGGGAAAUCCACCCGCCCAACGGGUGGCCGUCCGGUGGAAACUGCACGGCUUGGGACCGGAAGGCGCGACGGGUACGUCCAGGGUAGGAGUGAAAUCCCGUAAUCCUGGACGGACCGCCGAUGGCGAAAGCACGUCGCGAGAACGGAUCCGACAGUGAGGGACGAAAGCUAGGGUCUCGAACCGGAUUAGAAACCCCUGUAGUCC